rnacentral:sRNA from 1 species
AUACAGCAGCAGCAGGAGCUGAGACUCAGAGCUGAGCGAGCGUCAGGGUGAAAAGGAAAAAGAGAAAGAGAGAGAGAAAAAAAAGCGGGGAGAGAGAGAGAGAGGAACACAAGGUGGGGAGGAAGCCAGUGCACGUUCCAUAGCAUCACUACUGUGACUGCUUGUGCCAGAUAAUCUUGCUCUGUAGCUCCCUCAGUGAACAACUUACUGAGGUGCCUUUCUUUUUACAAGAGGAUGUCAGCUCUGAGCUCCAGCAAGAAAUAACAGACUUCACCUUGGAAUAGCUCAUCUUACUCCUGCAUCAUUAAAGCGGAUUUUGAAAAGAAAACAAAAAUCAAGUCCCCUUUCCAGUUCCACUUUCUUCCAGCAUUGAACAGGAACAGUUUCACGCUCCAGGACUCAACCACAGCAAUAUAUAAGAAGAACACACACCAAACAUUCCUGAAGUGAUUUAUAAGGUUGAAAAUGGUUGCUUGUGUUCCACUACUGUGAAGAGUUGGAAUCAGACAACUACAGCUUUGAUUUUCCAAGUGCUUCAGAAUGUAAAUAUGAUCUGACCUUUCCCUGAUGGACAGUUAAAUCAUGGACACGCUAAACAAUUUACUUUGGACUGUCCUUCCUAAAGAUGCUCUGGCUUCUCUCUUGAAUGCU